rnacentral:pre_miRNA from 14 species
UCUUCGGAGACGAGGGUGGUCGCUGAUCCCAGAUGAGCCCCCAAAUGAAAGACCCCCGGAGCAGGGAGACCCUCACUCAAGUCUCGGGAGGAAGCGAACCCCCAAGAACUCACGUGAGACC